CAUUUCUGGCACUCCUGGCCUAUUGCACGGCUUGAAGCACCAGGGUGAUAUUAGGUCCUUUGGUCCAUAGGGGUCCAGGCUGUUCUGAUGUUCAUUGCUGAAAUGAAAAAGGCCAGACUCGGGGAUGGAAACAUAGGCCUGCGAAGGCUGGCUGUCCAAGGGAAAACCGUGAACUGGAAGACCAAAGGCAGUUUCACAUCGCUGACAUUCAGGGACCAAACUCCACCAACUAUCUUGAGGAUCCUGAAGCAAGUGAGUCUGGAGGGACACUUGCUUUUUCAUCUGUCUCUUCAAGAGUUCCUGCAUGUGAAGAGCAAGAGAGGAAAUCGGGUCUGCUCCCCCUUACAAGGCACCACGCAACCCCACGCACUGGAAAGCUUUCUCCUGCUGAGAACCAGUGUGGCAAUCUCCUGAGGCAAGAGACGUAUGUUCUGCUAAGGAGAACCAUGGAUCUGCUGCAUUUGAAUGGCAAUAAGUGUUGAUCUACC